rnacentral:rRNA from 2 species
GUGGGUAGUUUGACUGGGGCGGUCUCCUCCUAAAGAGUAACGGAGGAGCACGAAGGUUGGCUAAUCCUGGUCGGACAUCAGGAGGUUAGUGCAAUGGCAUAAGCCAGCUUGACUGCGAGCGUGACGGCGCGAGCAGGUGCGAAAGCAGGUCAUAGUGAUCCGGUGGUUCUGAAUGGAAGGGCCAUCGCUCAACGGAUAAAAGGUACUCCGGGGAUAACAGGCUGAUACCGCCCAAGAGUUCAUAUCGACGGCGGUGUUUGGCACCUCGAUGUCGGCUCAUCACAUCCUGGGGCUGAAGUAGGUCCCAAGGGUAUGGCUGUUCGCCAUUUAAAGUGGUACGCGAGCUGGGUUUAGAACGUCGUGAGACAGUUCGGUCCCUAUCUGCCGUGGGCGCUGGAGAACUGAGGGGGGCUGCUCCUAGUACGAGAGGACCGGAGUGGACGCAUCACUGGUGUUCGGGUUGUCAUGCCAAUGGCACUGCCCGGUAGC